AAGGAUCAUUACAGAAUCUCUUCUAAAGUUUUGUUGUGAGUAACUAUUCUAGCGCUGCUGAAAUAUUGCGUGCGCGGUUGGUUGCUUGUGAUAAUUCUUUGGGAAAACUCUAUACACUUUGUUUUCUUAUUAGAGACAAACUUGCUUUGGUCAGAUGUGCGUAAAACCACGACUGAUCAGAGAAUAAAUAAAACUCAUUUUUGUUUUCGAACAAAAAACGUGUAUUAUUCAUAGUCAAAACUUGAAGCUAUUCUUUAUUGAAUUGCUGAACUAAACUUAAAACUUUCAACAACGGAUCUCUUGGUUCUCGCAUCGAUGAAGAACGCAGCGAAGUGCGAUAAGUAAUGUGAAUUGCAGAUUUUCGUGAAUCAUCGAAUCUUUGAACGCAUAUUGCGCCCUCUGGUAUUCCGGAGGGCAUGCCUGUUUGAGCGUCAUUUCCUUCUCAUAUCCCUAGGAUGUGGUGAUGAGCGAUACUUUCGUAAGAAAGUUCGUUUGAAAUGAAUUGGCACGAGUCUUUCGACAGAUUGAUGCUAUGUUUUCAAUGUAUUAGGUUUACACCAUCGUUGAUUGUAGUAUUGGGCUGUUGAAGUUAUGGGCUUUGCCUUACAAACUUUACCUUAAAGUUUGACCUCAAAUCAGGUAGGAUUACCCGCUGAACUUAAGCAUAUCAAUAAGCGGAGGAAAAGAAACCAACAGGGAUUGCCUUAGUAGCGGCGAGUGAAGCGGCAAGAGCUCAAAUUUGAAAUCUGGUACUUUCAGUAUCCGAGUUGUAAUUUGAAGAAAGUUAUCUUGGAGUUGGCCCUUGUCUAUGUUCCUUGGAACAGGACGUCACAGAGGGUGAGAAUCCCGUGCGAUGGGGUGCCCAUUCUAUGUAAGAUACUUUCGACGAGUCGAGUUGUUUGGGAAUGCAGCUCUAAGUGGGUGGUAAAUUCCAUCUAAAGCUAAAUAUUGGCGAGAGACCGAUAGCGAACAAGUACAGUGAUGGAAAGAUGAAAAGAACUUUGAAAAGAGAGUGAAAAAGUACGUGAAAUUGUUGAAAGGGAAGGGUAUUUGAUCAGACUGAUAUUCAGUUAACACUGUUCCUUGGGGACGGUGCUCUAGCUUUUUAUUGGGCCAGCAUCAGUUUAGGUGGCAGGAUAAGAACUGUUGAACGUGGCUCUUCGGAAUGGUAUAGCUUCAGUUGAAACUGCCUAUCUAGACUGAGGCCUGCGGCUUUGCCUAGGAUGCU
rnacentral:rRNA from 1 species